rnacentral:rRNA from 1 species
UACGUAGGGGGCAAGCGUUGUCCGGAUUUAUUGGGCGUAAAGAGCGUGUAGGCGGCCAUACAGGUCAGCUGUGAAAACUCGAGGCUCAACCUCGAGACGUCGGUUGAAACCGUAUGGCUAGAGUCCGGAAGAGGAGAAUGGAAUUCCCGGUGUAGCGGUGAAAUGCGCAGAUAUCGGAGGAACACCGGUGGCGAAGGCGGUUCUCUGGGCCUGUACUGACGCUGAGGAGCGAAAGCGUGGGGAGCGAACAGG